CCCUUAGAGUUUGAUCCUGGCUCAGGAUGAACGCUGGCGGCGUGCCUAACACAUGCAAGUCGAACGAGGUAAAUGAGAUGAGGUUUUCGGAUGGAUUCUUAUUUACCGAGUGGCGGACGGGUGAGUAACGCGUGGGUAACCUGCCUCAUACAGGGGGAUAACGAUUGGAAACGAUUGCUAAUACCGCAUAAGCGCACAGUACCACAUGGUACGGUGCGAAAAACUCCGGUGGUAUGAGAUGGACCCGCGUCUGAUUAGCUAGUUGGUGAGGUAACGGCCCACCAAGGCAACGAUCAGUAGCCGACCUGAGAGGGUGACCGGCCACAUUGGGACUGAGACACGGCCCAGACUCCUACGGGAGGCAGCAGUGGG
rnacentral:rRNA from 1 species